AACUCAAAGGAAUUGACGGGGACCCGCACAAGCGGUGGAUGAUGUGGAUUAAUUCGAUGCAACGCGAAAAACCUUACCUACCCUUGACAUGUACGGAACCUCUGAGAGAUUAGAGGGUGCUCGAAAGAGAGCCGUAACACAGGUGCUGCAUGGCUGUCGUCAGCUCGUGUCGUGAGAUGUUGGGUUAAGUCCCGCAACGAGCGCAACCCUUGUCAUUAGUUGCUACGAAAGGGCACUCUAAUGAGACUGCCGGUGACAAACCGGAGGAAGGUGGGGAUGACGUCAAGUCCUCAUGGCCCUUAUGGGUAGGGCUUCACACGUCAUACAAUGGUACAUACAGAGGGCCGCCAACCCGCGAGGGGGAGCUAAUCCCAGAAAGUGUAUCGUAGUCCGGAUUGUAGUCUGCAACUCGACUACAUGAAGUUGGAAUCGCUAGUAAUCGCGGAUCAGCAUGUCGCGGUGAAUACGUUCCCGGGUCUUGUACACACCGCCCGUCACACCAUGGGAGCGGGUUUCACCAGAAGUAGGUAGCCUAACCGCAAGGAGGGCGCUUACCACGGUGGGAUUCGUGACUGGGGUGAAGUCGUAACAAGGUAACC
rnacentral:rRNA from 1 species